AGCAUUCUAGCCCUGCAUGGUAUGAGUUCCAGACUGGAGGUGGAGGGAGAGAUAAGAGCAGCCUCCAUGAAGAUGUGAUGCUUGAUCUGAGACUUGCAGGGUCGGCAGCUCCUUGGCCAACAGAAGGGAGAGUGGGAAAAGGGAGAGAAUGUUAGUGGACCCCCCGGUGUGUAGAAGUUCAGCAAGAUUAAAAGCCAAUACAAGCAGUGCUUGGAAAUAAAGCAGAACCAUGCACCCAGCAACACCUUUGAUCUCGACCAUAUGGAGCCCCACCAAGCUCUGGAAAAAAAAUCUCCCUUGCCUCCACAGCCGGCCGAGAGAAGCGGGGGCCCCCAGAUGGCCAGAUACCAUGGGCGCCCGCACCCCAUGGCUUGUCUUGUCUUCUGAUUGGUCCCCAGUGCAAAGGCAGGGGACUCGCUUCUCACGCUGGAGGCAAAUCCGUGUCCCCAACGUUGGUGAGGUUGACAGUUUUCACAACUCGGUUUUGGGGGGGAAAUAUUUGAGUAAACAGCCCUGACCCUGUUGGGUUUGUUUUAGAGUGGAAUCUCACCAUCAGGACAGAGCAAAAAUGUCAUGGGCCCCUAGACCAGUGUGGAAAGCUCACUAAACCAUUUUUCCAGCUGAGGCUUUUUCCUCUCUUUCUUUUGUUAAAUCCUUGGGUCUCUAACUUUGCUGAUCAUCGUCUUGAGAAUUGACCACAUGGGAAGACUGAUUUACACACUGGGUCAGCCUGAGAAGGAAAAAGCCCAUGACCAAUGACAUCGGGGGGCCCAGAGGGAAGCCGGCUGAGGCAGAGGGAGCAAGUGGGCCGUGGCCAAGGGCCAAGGACCUGCAUCCUCAUCUUCCUCUCACCAGCAUGGGGAUUGGCAGGUUUAAGAGGCAGUUAGGAGAGGCAGGUGUGAGUAAUGGGAACAGCACUGGCUUUCACCAAGCAACCAGGUUCACGACAGCCGUCAUGUGACCUCGGGCACGUGACUCCACCUCUCUGUGAGGCAGUUUGCUCAUGGAUUCUUCUGCAAUUCUGAAACAUGAAAGUGCCAAAAGUCAACG